rnacentral:rRNA from 1 species
GUGGGGAAUAUUGGGCAAUGGGCGCAAGCCUGACCCAGCAACGCCGCGUGAGGGAAGAAGGCUUUCGGGUUGUAAACCUCUGUCCUUGGUGACGAAAAAAAUGACGGUAGCCAAGGAGGAAGCCCCGGCUAACUACGUGCCAGCAGCCGCGGUAAUACGUAGGGGGCGAGCGUUGUCCGGAAUUACUGGGCGUAAAGGGUGCGUAGGUGGCCUUUUAAGUUGGAUGUGAAAUACCCGGGCUUAACUUGGGGGGUGCAUCCAAAACUGGGAGGCUAGAGUGCAGGAGAGGAAAGCGGAAUUCCUAGUGUAGCGGUGAAAUGCGUAGAUAUUAGGAGGAACACCAGUGGCGAAGGCGGCUUUCUGGACUGUAACUGACACUGAGGCACGAAAGCGUGGGGAGCAAACAGGAUUAGAAACCCGGGUAGUCC